rnacentral:rRNA from 1 species
UACCUGGUUGAUCCUGCCAGUAGUCAUAUGCUUGUCUCAAAGACUAAGCCAUGCAUGUCUAAGUAUAAGUAUUAUACAGCGAAACUGCGAAUGGCUCAUUAAAACAGUUAUAGUUUAUUUGAUAAUCGAAUUUACAUGGAUAACCGUGGUAAUUCUAGAGCUAAUACAUGCUGGUGUGCCCGACUUUUGUGGAAGGGCGGUAUUUAUUAGAUAACAAGCCAAUAUUCCUCUGGUCUAUUGUGGUGACUCAUAAUAACUGAUCGAAUCGCAAGGCCUAUGGCCGCGGUAAGUCAUUCAAGUUUCUGCCCCAUCAGCUUUCGAUGGUAGUGUAUUGGACUACCAUGGCGUUUACGGGUAACGGAGGAUUAGGGUUCGAUUCCGGAGAGGGAGCCUGAGAAACGGCUACCACAUCUAAGGAAGGCAGCAGGCGCGUAAAUUACCCAAUCCUGACUCAGGGAGGUAGUGACAAGAAAUAACGGACCGGGGCCUUACGGCUUCGGGAUUGCAAUGAGCCGAAUUUACACCCCUUAGCGAAGAUCGAUUGGAGGGCAAGUCUGGUGCCAGCAGCCGCGGUAAUUCCAGCUCCAAUAGCGUAUAUUAAAGUUGUUGCAGUUAAAAAGCUUCGUAGUUGGAUUUCUGGGAGGGUGCCGCCGUCCGGCGUGUCCGUGUGCAGUGGCGCCCUUCCAUCCUUCUGUUAGCGUCUCUUGGCAUUCAUUUGCUGGUGGCGGGCUCAGAUAUUUUACCUUGAGAAAAUUAGAGUGUUUCAGGCAGGCUAGGCCGGAAUACAUUAGCAUGGAAUAAUGGAAUAGGACUACGGUCUCUUUGUUGGUUUGAGGGACUGCAGUAAUGAUUAAUAGGGAUAGUUGGGGGCAUUAGUAUUUAAUUGUCAGAGGUGGAAUUCUCAGAUUUGUUAAAGACUAACUUAUGCGAAAGCAUUUGCCAAGGAAUGUUAUCAUUAUCCAAGAACGAAAGUUAAGGGGAAUCCAAAGACGAUACAAGAUACCGUCCUAGUCAUAACCAUAACUAAUGACCGACUACGGGAUCGGGAGGCGUGGUCUAUCCGCCUUCAGGCAACCGUAUGAAGAAAUCAAAGUCUUUGGGUUCUGGAGGGGAAGUAUGGUCGCAAGGCUGAAACUUAAAGGAAUUGACGGAAAGGGCACCACCAGGCGUGGAGCUUGCGGCUCAAUUUGACUCAACACGGGAAAACUUACCAGGUCCAGACAUAGUGAGGAUUGACAGAUUGAUAGCUCUUUCUUGAUUCUAUGGGUGGUGGUGCAUGGCCGUUCUUAGUUGGUGGAGUGAUUUGUCUGGUUAAUUCCGUUAACGAACGAGACCUUAGCCUGCUAACUAGUCGCGGCGAUCUCGAUCGUCGUCGGCUUCUUAGAGGGACUUUGUGGCACUAAACACAAGGAAGUUUGAGGCAAUAACAGGUCUGUGAUGCCCUUAGAUGUCCUGGGCCGCACGCGUGCUACACUGACGCCUACAGCGAGUACUUCCCAGCCCCGAGAGGUGGCUGGUAAUCAGCAAUAGGCGUCGUGAUGGGGAUAGAUCUUUGGAAUUAUGGAUCUUGAACGAGGAAUGCCUAGUAAGCGCAGGUCAUUAGCCUGCGUUGAUUAAGUCCCUGCCCUUUGUACACACCGCCCGUCGCUCCUACCGAUUUCGAGUGGUCCGGUGAAUCUUUCGGACUGCGCGCGGCUUCGUGCCGUGUCGCGGAAAGUCAGGUAAACCUUAUCACUUAGAGGAAGGAGAAGUCGUAACAAGGUUUCCGUAGGUGAACCUGCAGAAGGAUC